rfam:Rhizobium yanglingense strain CCBAT 01603 genomic scaffold 01603_scaffold_3, whole genome shotgun sequence.
AGAAGGGCUUCCGCGACGGCAACGUUCGGGAGCUUUUUUCUUUUGC